AUUGAUUCCACAGAGUUAAUUCUGCUCUCAAAAUGAUCCUCUCUGGGGUGCUGUACUGCUGGGAUGGAGAACCAGCUCAUGCCUAUCUUCCAUCAAGGGCAGUAUUGGGGGAUGGACACAAGAAGCAAGGCAUCCGGUUAUGCUAACAGCAUUCUAUAGUGGGGAGAGCCAUGUGAAGGUGAAGAAACUGGAGCUCAAGAAGUUAUAUUUCCUAAGGUGAUGAAGCUUUCAGUGGCAG